AACGAACGCUGGCGGCAUGCCUAACACAUGCAAGUCGAACGGGAUCCUGGUUUCGGCCAGGUGAGAGUGGCGGACGGGUGAGUAACGCGUGGGAACCUGCCCAGUGGUGGGGGAUAACUGCGGGAAACUGCAGCUAAUACCGCAUGAGCCCGCAAGGGGAAAGAUUGAUCGCCAUUGGAGGGGCCCGCGUUCGAUUAGGUAGUUGGUGAGGUAACGGCUCACCAAGCCUUCGANCGAUAGCUGGUCUGAGAGGAUGAUCAGCCACACUGGGACUGAGAUACGGCCCAGACUCCUACGGGAGGCAGCAGUGGGGAAUAUUGGACAAUGGGGGCAACCCUGAUCCAGCAAUGCCGCGUGAGUGAUGAAGGCCUGG
rnacentral:rRNA from 1 species